GUGUGUGUGUGUGUGUGUGUGUGUGUGUGUGCGCGCGCAUACCUCAGUUCGUAGGCUGCAGCACUGUACGGCUUCCUCCCCCCCCUUCCUCCCCGGGGCUGCACUGAGAGGCUGGUGCCAGAGAGUCUCACCUAGUCAGACAAAAUGUGAAUCCAUCACGACGUCCACUGUGACUCCAGCUUCAUGAUGAUGAUGAUGAUGAUGAUGAUGAUGAUGAUGUUCCCCGCGGGGGCCUCAGGAGCCACACAUGAUAACCUUUAAACAGGCCGAAAUGAUCCAGCAGGUUGAAAAUGAGAAGCAGAUUGAUAGUUCCAGCAGGCAUUAACCCCACCUCUGGUUUGAUCUCCUCGGGUCAGGCCCGGCUACCGAAACAGUCGCGCUUCUGACUGGUUUGAUCCAAGCCUGUUGACAAGGUCAGCUGUAACCGGCUGAGAGGUUGUCAUGACUGACUGCAAAGCGCUCCUGGCUCAUCGGUGCAAUCAUUUGUCAGCAUGUUGUGUUGCUCAGGCGCGAGGCUUGGUUGAAAACAGGCCAAAAAAAUCAUUGAAAAUGACAUUUGAUAGUCUUCUGUUGGCAAACAGCAUUUUUAUA